ACCUGACUGGCUCAGUCAGUGGAGCACAGGACUCUUGAUCUCUGGGUUGUGGGUUUGAGCCCCAAGUUGGGUG
rnacentral:tRNA from 1 species